GAUGAACGCUGGCGGCGUGCCUAAUACAUGCAAGUCGAGCGAACGGACGAGAAGCUUGCUUCUCUGAUGUUAGCGGCGGACGGGUGAGUAACACGUGGAUAACCUACCUAUAAGACUGGGAUAACUUCGGGAAACCGGAGCUUAUACCGGAGAAUAUUUUGAACCGCAUGGUUCAAAAGUGAAAGACGGUCUUGCUGUCACUUAUAGAUGGAUCCGCGCUGCAUUAGCUAGUUGGUAAGGUAACGGGUUACCAAGGCAACGAGGCAUAGCCGACCUGAGAGGGUGAUCGGCCACACUGGAACUGAGACGCGGUCCAGACGCCUACGAGAGGCAGCAGUAGGGAAUCGUACGCAAUGGGCGAAAGCCUGACGGAGCAACGCCGCGUGAGUGAUGAAGGUCUUCGGAUCGUAAAACUCUGUUAUUAGGGAAGAACAUAUGUGUAAGUAACUGUGCACAUCUUGACGGUACCUAAUCAGAAAGCCACGGCUAACUACGUG
rnacentral:rRNA from 1 species